rnacentral:rRNA from 1 species
GCGUUCACGAGUAUACAACCUUGAUCGAUAGGUCUGGGUAAUCUUGUGAAUGCGCAUCGUGCUAGGGAUAGAUUGUUGCAAUUUUCAAUCUUGAACGAGGAAUUCCUAGUAAACGCAAGUCAUCAGCUUGCAUUGAUUACGUCCCUGCCCUUUGUACACACCGCCCGUCGCACCUACCGAUUGAAUGACUCGGUGAGAAAUCGGGACCGUGAAUCCGUUUGCUUCAUUGCGAAUGGACUUAUGGAAACUUUUUCUAACCUCGCCAUUUAGAGGAAGGUGAAGUCGUAACAAGGUUUCCGUAGGUGAACCUGCGGAAGGAUCAUUA